UUUUUUCUUAAUAUUGCUACUAGAAUUGUUUUCUGGAGAGACAAUGUAAUCAUUUUGUUCAACUUAUUAAAAUCUCUUCUAGGAUCCCACUUCCUAAGCAGGAACUCAUAAUCUAGAACACUGAAUGAUUUAAGGUGUCCAUGAGACCCCAUAAAAACAAAUGACAACAAAAAAAUGGAGUGCCAUCAAUUAAUAAUAUAAAACUUAAGCUUUUUAUGGUCUAUACAUACAAUUGUAUGGCGGCCAUAUUUUACUUCUCAGCUCCCCUUGCUCCUUCUCCACAUUAAAUUAAUCCUCUGCAGGCAUGCAGGAUUUACCACCAUUUCCCACAACACUCUCCAUUUUUAAAUGCCUUUGUAGCUGCUGUCACGUGACUCAGAAUGCCAUUCUCCAUCACCAUAGCGCAUUUUUUUGCAUUCUUAAGAUUGAUCAGACUCUUCCUAGCAGAAGUUCCAAGAGUGUUUUGUCACUAUAUUCUACCUGUUUAUAGUAAUUUUUAAUCUAGUUUUGAAAAGUUAGACUUUUCUAAGUCUGUGUAUAUGUAAUUUAAUCUCUUACCACUCUGAUAGUUUCAGUUGACCUUGUUUUUCUGAUGAAGGACUAACACAACUUAAAAAAUCUUUAGCACUUGGCAUAGAAGUUGCCCAAUAAAAGUUAAUACAUGUAUGUGUAACUGGGUCCCCAUGCUGUACAGUGGGGAAAAAAAUGUGUUGGGGGAAAUAACAAUAAAGAAUAAAUUAAAAAAUCAAGUUAAUCAAAUGACAAUAAAUUAAAAAAAAAAGGAAGCUAUUUUUAACCAAGACCACAUUUGAUCUUAAUUCUUAUGAGAGAGGAAAGAGCCAUACAAAGAACUUCAGCAGAAAAUAAUAUAUUUUGGAUAAGGAGGUAUGUUGUUGAGUUGAAAAUGUGAGACCCAGCUUGAUCAGAAUAUAUUCGAGGGGUUCUAAGGAAAGCAUCAUUACUAUCAGAAAACUACCAGAGGAAGGCAGUUGUUCACUGGUUGGAUUCUGGGGAUUUGUUUUCUCAUCUGUAAUUUACAAGUAUACUUUAGUAAAGGAACUAGGUUCUGUCAAAAAAUACUUUUGAAAAUUGUUCAUAGGUAGUUUGAAAGCUAAUAAAGAAGAUGCCAUAGUAGUACAAUUAACAGAAAGUAGCAUAUAGCCUAAAGCCAUAUAAAUAAUGAGGAUAACACAGGGCCUAGACAAUUACAGGGAAAAAGCAUUUGGAUCCAGUGGUGGUUUUGCUUGUCAAAACUGAUAAAGGGAAAAAUGAAACAUGAUACCAAUGUGGAAGUCAGUCAUGUUACCAGUGGUAUUAAGAAUGAUGGAGAAAGUGUGUGUGUUUGGGGCAGGUAGGAACCAGCAUAAUGAAAUCUUUAUUAGACCCCAAGAAAGACUCAACUUAAAAUAUUAGAUAAUAGUAUUGAUAUAUGUUGCUCAGUAAAUACAGGACUAAAUAAAAAUAAGGAUGAUGUGAUAGUAAUCACACGUAUCAUUUAUUGAGGCUUUAUUAUAUCCUAGGAAUGGUACUAAGCAUCAUCUCCUUUCAUUCCAUAGUGACCUGAUGAGAAAGGUAUUAUUGCUAAUGUAAUGUUACAAGUAAGGAAUCUGAGAGUUUUAGAGGUUAAGGAACUUGCCCCAAAUCAUACAACUAGAAGGAUGUAGAGCAGUGACUUAUAGAUAUGGGAAAAUUGAUCCCAUACUCCAUGUUUUCAGUCGUUACCACUGCACUGCUUCCUUUUGAGGCUAUUAGAUUGACAUUUCCACAAUUUUAUUUCCUUUUCUCAUAUUUUAAAAGUUCAUUUUAUAUUGAGUUACAUUCCAACCCUUAAAAACCAUUACAGAAGAGUCUGUUUUCUUGGAUUGCUGUUAAUUGUUUUAUCUUACUAAGUUAUAUUUUCAAUUCAAUAGCCUUAAAAUUAUGAUUUAAGUAUAUUUUGUUUAAGUAAUAUAAACUGCUUAAGAGCUACUUUAAUAGUCUCUCAAAUUGUGUUUCUUUUAAACUAAAUAUUUAUAAUUCUGUAUAACUUCUGUGGAGUGGCAUUUUAAAAAUAGAACAUCUAGCUUUCCUUAAUAUUUUGACUUGUGCAAUGUGUGUAUUCGAGUUCAUUCUCAUUCCAGAAGUUUCUUCAGGACUAAUUAUUUUGUGUGUGUGUGUGUGUGUGUUUUGGAGUUAAUAAGCUUAGAUACUAGGGGGGGAAACAGUGGAAAGAUUAUACCACAGAUAAUUAAUAAAAAUCAAUUAGUUUGUUAAUGAGUACUCUGUCAGUACCCAAGGUGGCAGAAACCAGCUGGGGGAAAGAAAUCAGGAUCCCUGAAUAGGACAUUUAGAAUUCCUGAGUCCUGCUGAGAAUUCAAGAGGAAAUAACUAUAAGAAGCGCUUACUUGGGUUAAAACUAGCUAAAUUUCCUCUUGAGAUUGCAAUUCCUCUAGCUAAUAAAUUUAGUAAAAAAGUGAUUCACCUUUAGUGUAUGCCAUAAAGCAUUUUCCAGUGCCUUAAGUACAGUGCUCACUACCCUGUAUUAAAAACAAACCCAUAGUUGUAAAUGUCAAUGACUAAGAAUAUUAGAGCCCUUGCAUCUUUCUUAUGUUAGUAGAAAAGCUGGAAGCACCCAUUACCUCUUCUAUGACUUUUUACAUUGUAUUUAUAUAAAUGGCAAAAGUCAAACAUGAGCUGCCAGGGAAAUAAAAAAUCUGUCUUCCAAUGGUCCUUGGGCAAAAAAGCUGACAAUUCCAAUGAUAGCAAUUGACCUUCUUUAAAGUUUUUCAGAACAACCUAUUCUUCCCAUUGUUAAUUAUAUUUAUGUUAAAAUUACUCCCUCACUAUCAUGUAAUUAUGGAUCAUUUAUGGUAUUUAUGCAGAGUAAAUGAUUUAGAUAAAAAAACUUACUCCAUUUGCUAUAUCUUCUCUAAGGAUUGAGGAAAAAAGGAUUCUAGUAGAGUGAUAACUUUUAUAUGAAUUUGUACAUACUGUUAUAUUGUAAAUAAACAUGUUCCAGUAAUUGAUAGGAACCCAAAU
ensembl:lncRNA